UUUGGAAAUGAAAUUGGGACACAUCCACAGGAAGUCCCAAUAAGGACUGAAGUAUAUCAAGGAAAUGACAUGACGACUUGCAGCUGGAGAAUCAAAGUCCUUGAACAAGAAUUGGAAAGAACAAUCGAUUACUUUCAAAUACAGAUUAUUUAUUUGAAGAAAAAUGCAAAUGAUACUUGG